UCUCCGUUGGUGAACCAGCGGAGGGAUCAUUACAGGACUCGCAAGACUCCUACAACCCUGUGAACUUAACUAUAAGCACGUUGCUUCGGCGGGUGUCUCGGAGGGGGUUCUCCCUCCCCGAGACGCUAAACCCGCCGGCAGCCUACUAUACUCUGUCUCUUUGCGUUGGCAUCUCGAGUACAAUCAAACAAGUUAAAACUUUCAACAACGGGUCUCUUGGUUCUG
rnacentral:misc_RNA from 1 species